rnacentral:misc_RNA from 1 species
UUGUAAUCUUCAUCCAAAAUUAGGAAGAAAAAAUUUUUCCAUGGAUGUUAUUGGGGCAGUUGUUAGUAUCAUGAGCUGCUUAUGUGCAAAAAUUGUAUAAAUGAAUCAAUCAGUAGGCAGUAUGGACAUCUUCGAAACCCUAAAAGAAAGUUGGGAAAACUUAGAAGGAAAAUGGAAGAGCUAAAUGCCCUAAAAGUAGAAGUAACCAUAAAACAGGAGCAGAUGCAGCUGCAAUUCGGGAUGGAGCCAAAGGAAGGGGUAAAAUUGUGGCUGAGAAAUGUUGAUGAGAUUGACAGCGAAGUGAGUAGAAUUACCACUGAAAAUAGACAAGAAAAUUUGAGUUGGUAUUGUCCUAACUACUUGUGUUCAAGAAAACAGUUUGGAAAACUCGUUGAAGAAAAGAUUGAGGAGGUUGCUGACCUUAUUGAGAAGGGAAACUUUUCAGAUGAUUCAUUAGCUCACAAGUUGCAGAACAAAGGUCUCACUCUCCCCACAACUUUGCUAUUGGAGAAUCACACAACCAUGCUUAGCUGGAAGAAGAUUGGAGCUGUUUGAUGGGUUCUAAAGUAGGUAGGAUUGGUGUUUAUGGAAUGGGAGGCAUUGGCAAAACAACUAUUAUGAGAGAAAUUAAUAACCAACUUUUGAAAGGGAGUACAGAUUUCGGUUGUGUUUUAUGGGUGACUGUAUCAAAGGAUUUUGAUCUUGACAGGUUACAGAAGGGCAUUGCAAAGCAGUUGAACUUUUCCCUUUCUGAUUGUGAGUCAGUGGUGGAAAAAAGCGCUAAAAUAUAUGGUGCUUUACACAGAAAGAGGUUUGUACAAGUUUUUGAUGACUUGGGGGAACUAUUUCCUCUUGAACAGGUUGGAAUUCCCUUUCCAACAGCAGAGAAUGGCUGCAAGAUAGUUCUAACUACACGGUUAAUGAGCAUCUGCCGAGGAAUGGAAACAGAACAGGAUGUAGAAAUAAAAGUUCUUUCUGAGGAUGAGGCAUGGAAUCUCUUCAGGGAUAAAGUUGGAAAAGCAGUUCUAGUUGAGCCAAAGAUAUAGAAUAUUGCUAGGAAGGUAGCAAAGGAAUGCGGUGGUUUUCCUCUUGCCAUCAUCACGGUUGGGCAUGCCUUGAGAAGGGAAACUAAUAUUUCAGAGUGGGAGAUUGCUCUGACUGAGCUGAGAGGCUCAACUGGCAGUAUAGAAUGCAUGGAGGACCUAGUGUUUGCUAGAUUAAGAUGUAGCCUCACAAAAUUAAGGGAUGACACAAAUUGAUCCUGCUUUCUUUUUUCUGCAUUAUAUCCUGAAGGACAUUACAUUGAUAUAAAUGAGUUGAUUACUAUUGAAUGUGGGAGGGUUUGCAGGGCAGUGUUGGAAGGAUAGUGGAAAAGAAAAGGAAGGGAAAAAUCAUACUGAAUGAAUUGAAAAAUGCAUGUUUGUUAGAAAGCAUAACUCAGUAUGGGAUUUAAUAUGUCAACAUGCAUGAUUUGAUUAGAGAUAUGGCAAUUGCAAUCUUAAGCACAAGCCCUCGAUGCAUGGUAAAAUCUGGGAUUGUUCUGAAAACUCCUCCACAGGUUGAUGAAUGGAUUGAUGAUCUCCAUAGAGUCUCAAUAAUGAGAAAUGAUUUGAAAAGUAUUCAUUUUAAGCCCAGAUGCCCAAGACUCAGUUCUUUGUUACUGCAGCACAAAUCAUUCUCGAAAAACGUAUCGCAUUCUUUCUUUGAUGGCAUGCCAAGUCUAACAGUUCUUGAUCUCUCUUACACUGGAAUUGAGUUUUUGCCAGAGUCACUAUCUAACUUGGAAAACCUAAGUGCACUGCUACUAAGCAGUUGUUGAAAAUUAUCUCUGAUGCCUUCUGUGGCAAAUCUUGUGAAGUUAAGGGUUUUGGAUCUAUCUUGGUGCCACAAAAUUCAAGAACUUCCACAUGGGAUGGAGCAACUAAGUAACCUCAGAUGCCUGAACCUCGCUUGUGCAAACAUCGAAGUAUUUCCAGUUGGAUUAUUGGCCAAAUUUAUCUUACUGGAAGAUCUAUUUAUGGUUGGUUGUGGUCAUACAUGGGGAUCAAGGGCAGUAGAAGGCAUCACAGGAGGGGCAAAUAUUGAAGAAAUUAUAAGCUCCACUAGUUUAUCAUCUCUGAGAGUGGACUUUUGGAACUUGGAAAUCUUUGAUUACUAUGUGAAAUCGGGGCACUGGGAACAACUUGACGAAUUCAAAUUCAAUAUUGGUCAGCCUUUUGAACAAUGCUCAAAGAAAAGAAGCAUAGCUUUCAAAGGAAACUUACUUUUGAAUGGAAGACCUAUUGUGCUUCCAACAAACACUACUGGAUUGUCUUUUAAUGAAUGCCCUGAUAUUUUUUUGUUGUCAGCAUACCUAUUUGAUUUGAAGGAAUUGAGAUCGUAUCAAGUUUACUCAUGCCGAAACAUGGAAUACAUCAUUUAUGCUAAUCAGACCAUUUUAUCUACCUUGGAAAUACUGAAACUCAAUAAUCUUUUCGAUUUGAGAACAAUAAGUGUGGGCAUUGUGGAGCAAUACACUCUAAUGAACCUGAAGAUAAUU